UACGAAGGGGGCUAGCGUUGUUCGGAAUCACUGGGCUUAAAGGGUGCGCAGGCGGAUUUUUAAGUCAGGGGUGAAAUCCCGAGGCUCAACCUCGGAACUGCCUUUGAUACUGGGGAUCUUGAGUCUGGAAGAGGUGACUGGAACUGCGCGUGUAGAGGUGAAAUUCGUAGAUAUUCGCAAGAACACCGGUGGCGAAGGCGGCUCACUGAUCCGGAACUGACGCUGAGGCACGAAAGCGUGGGGAGCAAACAGG
rnacentral:rRNA from 1 species